rnacentral:lncRNA from 1 species
CCGCUGAACUUGCAGGCCACUAUUUUCCCCCUCCUACUCCUCUCGAUCCAUAGCAUCCUCUCGAGAUUGACCUCCGGGGCAGAAGCCCCAGUGGGAGAACUCCUCGAAAGGGCUCGAAAGACUGAAGGCGGCGGGGAGCCGGCGAAGAUGGCAAAGAUUGGCGCGAAGAAUGCUUAAGGUCGAAAAGGACGCCGAUAGGUGGCUAAACUCUCAGGUA